CACGAACGCUGGCGGCGUGCCUAAUACAUGCAAGUCGAGCGCAGGAAACUGACGGAACUCUUCGGAGGGAAGGCAGUGGAAUGAGCGGCGGACGGGUGAGUAACACGUAAGGAACCUGCCUCAAGGAUUGGGAUAACUCCGAGAAAUCGGAGCUAAUACCGGAUAGUUCAUCGGACCGCAUGGUCCGUGGAUGAAAGGCGCUCCGGCGUCACCUUGAGAUGGCCUUGCGGUGCAUUAGCUAGUUGGUGGGGUAACGGCCCACCAAGGCGACGAUGCAUAGCCGACCUGAGAGGGUGAUCGGCCACACUGGGACUGAGACACGGCCCGGACUCCUACGGGAGGCAGCAGUAGGGAAUCUUCCACAAUGGACGAAAGUCUGAUGGAGCAACGCCGCGUGAGUGAUGAAGGUUUUCGGAUCGUAAAACUCUGUUGUAAGGGAAGAACACGUACGAGAGGGAAUGCUCGUACCUUGACGGUACCUUACGAGAAAGCCACGGCUAACUACGUGCCAGCCGCCGCAGUAAUAC
rnacentral:rRNA from 1 species